AUUUCACGUAAAACAAACCCUCAAAACCCUUCCUCCCCUUCACGUGAAAUUGCUGCUUCUCUCUCCCCUUUGUCAGUCGCCACCACCAGCGCGCACCGACCUCCUGCCACCAGUCACCGGCGAGUCGCACCGCCGCGCCGCCACGAAACCAGCGUUCGUGGCCUUGUUUCAGCCACCGUGUCGUCGCCUGAACGUUGUCCUUUUGCACGCCACCACCACCACUCACGGCCGUCGAGCAAGUUCUGCCGCCUCCAGUCGCGCCUCUCACCGCCGGCCACCUUCGUCCUCCCUUCCUUUUGGCGGAGAAUUCUCUUUAGGCGACUUUUGAAAGUGUUAAAGUGGCCUAUCAGUUUGUUUACACAAGGUACGUACAUACCUGUGUGCUUGGAAUGUGUGCUAAUUGUUGAAACCAUGUUGAAUUGUUGAUGAACUUGGUUAUGUUAAUGUUAUUGAUGAACUUAGUCAGGUUGAAAUUGCAUGUUUGAUACUGUUGGAUGGACAUAUUAAACCUUUAUUGCAUUUUGAGGAUUAUAACAUGUUAGUAUGGAAGAUUGAUGCAAACAUGUUUGAUUGGGAACACUAGAUUAUUUAGUAUAUAAUUCAGAUCAGUUAAUUGUUGUUCCCUUUUAGCUUUUCACUACUUUAUGAGGGCGGAGGACCUUAUUUAGUAAGUUGAAACCUUAUACCCAUAUUCAGGGGUUGAUCAGUAUUAAAGAAAAGAUUGGAGUUAAUUGGAAUGAGUCUUGUUUGAUGCCUUUGUGAUCACUUACUCAAUUCCAAGAUAAAAACAGUUAUAAAUAAAUGUGAGUUGCAUGCCUUAUGUGAUUGUUGAGUCAUAACAGGGUGUCAAUUUGUAAAUCAUGGAAAGUGAAACUGAGUAGCAAUAGCUUUAGACUGUGCACGUCUAAAGUGACGGACAAACAGGAGUUGGGGUUCAUGGUGGUAGCCCAUGGCCUUUCAUUCGGACCGGAUUGAUCACCGCGUCCUAUUUUCAGUCAAACGUUCCUCGAUAUCGCAGGUCACUGAGGUUACGGAGUCGCGCCCGUACCUCGCCUAGCUAGAAAACUCGGUCCAUUGCCUAUUUCAAUUAAAUUAAUAUUAUUGUUAUAAAAGUCUAGUCCAGUCUAGCCUAGUCUAGUUAAGUAUGGUCGUCAGGUUAUCAUGCUUUGUCUGCCCUUAAUUAUGUUUAAUAGUAUCAUG